ACCCGGAUUUAUGCUCAGACAACCGAUUAUUUCCCCAGAUAUUGGGUUACAUUUAAAAAAGAAACGCCUUUCCAUAGUAUAUAUGGCGUUAUGACAACUCUCAGACACAUCCUGUGGGAGUCUCAGUCAGCUUCAGCUGGAUAACGAAAGCCGCGGAUAUCUCUAGCAGGGUUGUUGUCUCCCUGCCUCAGGAGUCGAAUUCCCACUUGGAGUCGGAGGAGGACGACAUUCUGUGAUAGCCAUUGUAUCCAAAGACCAGAGGCUACACAGAAUGGUGAGUCUGAGCACUUCAGACAUGGGUUCACGUUUGGAUGAAGAAGAGAAUCUCUCUCUUUUGAAAGAAACUGAACACAAAAUUCCUAACCGACAACAUUUCCGGAGUUUGAAUCAUUUUGUUGUCUCAAUUGUGUUGGGUAUCUCUGUGUUUUGCAAUUUCAUACUUCUUGCAGAACAGUUCAAACCCCGAAAUCUGGAUAAAAUAUGCAGCAGACACACCACUCAAUAUUCUUCGCCUAUUUUGAAGGAUGUUGAUAUAACGUAUGAAUCUGUCCUCUUCAAUGGCUCUUUCACGAAAGAAUCGAUUUACCGACAACCACCAGGGCCACUGGUCGAUGAAGCAUGGCUCGCUCUCGGCACGCGUUUCGCGUCAGUGCUUGUUCCGGAGGAUGAAGCAGAAAAAUAUGGAAUUAAACAAGGGCAG
rnacentral:sRNA from 1 species